rnacentral:rRNA from 1 species
UAUUUUCGGCAAUGGGGGCAACCCUGACCGAGCGACGCCGCGUGAGUGAAGCAGGUCUCCGCAUUGUAAAGCUCUGUUGUAAGGGAAGCACCGUACCAGUAGGGCAUUACUGGUACCUGACGGUACCUUACCAGCAAGCCUCGGCUAACUACGUGCCAGCAGCCGCGGUAAUACGUAGGUGGCAAGCGUUACUCGGAAUUAUUGGUCUUAAAAGGAGCGCAGGCGGCUUAUUGAGGCUGAGGUUAAAGUUGGGGGCUCAACCACGUGAUGACUAAGAAACUGGUAGGCUAGAGUGAAGGAGAGGUGAGUGGAAUUCCAUGUGUAGGGGGAAAAUGCGUAGAUAUAGGGAGGAACACCAGUGGCGAAGGCGGCUCACUGGCCUGUAACUGACGCUGAGGCUCGAAAGCGUGGGGAGCAAAUA